UCCCUCCCCUUCUUUCAUUCCUCUUCUUCCCUUUCUUCGCUCUUCACUUUCUCCCAUUUUCAGAUAUUCGACUUCCAACUGAGCGACGAAGACAUGAGAGAACUGGACAGCUUAGACCGAGGAAGAGACGGAAAAAUCUUCAUCUUUAAAAACGUCUAUUUAGGGAUCGAGAACCAUCCAGAAUUCCCCUUCCACAUUCCGUAUUAGAAUCUGAAGGCCCAGACUGAGAGCUUCAGAUUCAACUUUAAAACUGGAGGGAUUUUUUAAAGAUAAUUAUGGUGCAUGUUAAUGGUCUCCACUGUAGUAUGCUUGAUAUUUGUAUCUUGUUUUCAUGGUGGAAGUCUCGUCUUAUUUAAAUAAAGUAUCUUUUCUUUUUC